rnacentral:ncRNA from 1 species
GCAGAGUAGGAUGUUGUGCGUUAAGUGCCGGGUGAACAGGGAGUUGUCAUCCGGACGAAAAGUCUUUUUAUAAGAAAAGACUUGCGGUACAAGAUCCGCAUCCCGCUGC